rnacentral:rRNA from 1 species
UAGAGUUUGAUCAUGGCUCAGAUUGAACGCUGGCGGCAGGCCUAACACAUGCAAGUCGAGCGGCAGCGGGAAGUAGCUUGCUACUUUGCCGGCGAGCGGCGGACGGGUGAGUAAUGUCUGGGAAACUGCCUGAUGGAGGGGGAUAACUACUGGAAACGGUAGCUAAUACCGCAUGAUGUCGCAAGACCAAAGUGGGGGACCUUCGGGCCUCACGCCAUCGGAUGUGCCCAGAUGGGAUUAGCUAGUAGGUGAGGUAAUGGCUCACCUAGGCGACGAUCCCUAGCUGGUCUGAGAGGAUGACCAGCCACACUGGAACUGAGACACGGUCCAGACUCCUACGGGAGGCAGCAGUGGGGAAUAUUGCACAAUGGGCGCAAGCCUGAUGCAGCCAUGCCGCGUGUGUGAAGAAGGCCUUAGGGUUGUAAAGCACUUUCAGCGAGGAGGAAGGCGUUGUAGUUAAUAGCUGCAACGAUUGACGUUACUCGCAGAAGAAGCACCGGCUAACUCCGUGCCAGCAGCCGCGGUAAUACGGAGGGUGCAAGCGUUAAUCGGAAUUACUGGGCGUAAAGCGCACGCAGGCGGUUUGUUAAGUCAGAUGUGAAAUCCCCGAGCUUAACUUGGGAACUGCAUUUGAAACUGGCAAGCUAGAGUCUUGUAGAGGGGGGUAGAAUUCCAGGUGUAGCGGUGAAAUGCGUAGAGAUCUGGAGGAAUACCGGUGGCGAA